rnacentral:rRNA from 1 species
CGUGCAUGGCUGGGCGCAGCCUGAUCAGCCAUGCCGCGUGUGUGAAGAAGGCCUUAUGGUUGUAAAGCACUUUAAGCGAGGAGGAGGCUACUUUAGUUAAUACCUAGAGAUAGUGGACGUUACUCGCAGAAUAAGCACCGGCUAACUCUGUGCCAGCAGCCGCGGUAAUACAGAGGGUGCAAGCGUUAAUCGGAUUUACUGGGCGUAAAGCGCGCGUAGGCGGCUAAUUAAGUCAAAUGUGAAAUCCCCGAGCUUAACUUGGGAAUUGCAUUCGAUACUGGUUAGCUAGAGUGUGGGAGAGGAUGGUAGAAUUCCAGGUGUAGCGGUGAAAUGCGUAGAGAUCUGGAGGAAUACCGAUGGCGAAGGCAGCCAUCUGGCCUAACACUGACGCUGAGGUGCGAAAGCAUGGGGAGCAAACAGGAUUAGAUACCCUGGUAGUCCAUGCCGUAAACGAUGUCUACUAGCCGUUGGGGCCUUUGAGGCUUUAGUGGCGCAGCUAACGCGAUAAGUAGACCGCCUGGGGAGUACGGUCGCAAGACUAAAACUCAAAUGAAUUGACGGGGGCCCGCACAAGCGGUGGAGCAUGUGGUUUAAUUCGAUGCAACGCGAAGAACCUUACCUGGCCUUGACAUAGUAAGAACUUUCCAGAGAUGGAUUGGUGCCUUCGGGAACUUACAUACAGGUGCUGCAUGGCUGUCGUCAGCUCGUGUCGUGAGAUGUUGGGUUAAGUCCCGCAACGAGCGCAACCCUUUUCCUUAUUUGCCAGCGAGUAAUGUCGGGAACUUUAAGGAUACUGCCAGUGACAAACUGGAGGAAGGCGGGGACGACGUCAAGUCAUCAUGGCCCUUACGGCCAGGGCUACACACGUGCUACAAUGGUCGGUACAAAGGGUUGCUACCUAGCGAUAGGAUGCUAAUCUCAAAAAGCCGAUCGUAGUCCGGAUUGGAGUCUGCAACUCGACUCCAUGAAGUCGGAAUCGCUAGUAAUCGCGGAUCAGAAUGCCGCGGUGAAUACGUUUCCCGGGCCUUGUACACACCGCCCGUCACACCAUGGGAGUUUGUUGCACCAGAGUAGCUAGCUACUGCAAGAGGGCGGUUACCACGGUGUGGCCGAUGACUGGGGGUGAGUUACAACGGGGUGGUCCCUC